CGGGUGAGUAACGCGUGGGUAACCUGCCUCGUACAGGGGGAUAACAGUUAGAAAUGACUGCUAAUACCGCAUAAGCGCACAGUGCUGCAUGGCGCAGUGUGAAAAACUCCGGUGGUAUGAGAUGGACCCGCGUCUGAUUAGCUAGUUGGUGGGGUAACGGCCUACCAAGGCGACGAUCAGUAGCCGGCCUGAGAGGGUGAACGGCCACAUUGGGACUGAGACACGGCCCAA
rnacentral:rRNA from 1 species